rnacentral:rRNA from 1 species
UACGUAGGGAGCAAGCGUUGUCCGGAAUCAUUGGGCGUAAAGCGCGCGUAGGUGGCUUCGUAAGUCCGUUGUGAAAGUCAAAGGCUCAACCUUUGAAAGCCGAUGGAUACUGCGGAGCUAGAGUACGGAAGAGGCGAGUGGAAUUCCUGGUGUAGCGGUGGAAUGCGUAGAGAUCCGGAAGAACACCAGUGGCGAAGGCGGCCCGCUGGGCAGUGGCUGACGCUGAGGCGCGACAGCGUGGGGAGCAAACAGG